rnacentral:piRNA from 1 species
UGCCAACCGAAUUGUAGCCUUCCUUAUCUGU